UUUUCAGAUCUCGACCAUUAAAUGUAUUAGCCAUAUGUAAACUAAACUCAUAAACAAAGAGAACAAAAGCGAUUGUUAUUCAAGGUGAGCAAUUUCUCUGCCACGGAUCGCACGUCAUCAUCAGUCAAUGCGGUCCCCCACUACUUAAAUUCACUAGCCAUCAUUCUAUCACUCUUCAUAAUAAAAACUGUGCAGUUCACGAGGCACAGCAGUGUCAAAUAGUGGGGAUCAUUUUCUUUCACUUUAUUGAAGCAAGUAAAUAGAAGCAAAGGUUACAUAUAAAUCGUAGUUUGCUAAUUGCCCACUUAUGAUCUAUGCCAUUAGCGAGUAUAAAUUUCAUAUCUAAUUAAACAUUCUUUUAUAUUCACGCUCAUGUAAUGUUUAGUUAACGUUUAGAGAAAUAUAAGCACUCGUACAAC